AUUCAGGCUGUAGUGUGAGAAGGUCAGAUGUACCACUAAUUUAAACUUGUAUUAUUGAAGAAAUGCAGAUCCUAUGGAGGAACUGAACCACUAAGCAUGGAAUUCAGAAAUGCAGAUUUAAAGCUCAAGAACAGAAUCACAGACUCACAGAAUUGCAGGAGUGGGAAGGUACCUCAAGAGAUCAUCGAGUCUAACCCCCUGCUAAGGCAGGUUCCCUACAACAGGUCACAAAGCUGACAGGUCUGCAUAGCCUUGUGGUAAGCAAGGUCAUCGGAACGACUUCAGUUCUAUGUCAACACUGCACAAUGGGAAAGGAAGUCCUGCUCUAGGAAGACCUUUUUCUUGAUUAAGACCUCUGGAAUUCAAGAUAAGUCCUUGCUCAGACCUUCAGAAAUCAAGUAAGAUCCCCACAAAUCCUGGCUGUCUGUCAAGAAAACACUUUGAAAUUACUGGAUUGCCAGAAAGGAAGAAACCAGGCUCUCCUCUACUGCUUGAUUCUACGCUUGCUUCUGUCCCCAUCCAACUAUCCACUCCUUUGCAUUCUGACUCCUGCCUCAGUUCUUCCUCUCCAGGCACAUUAUUGCUAACUUGUGCCUGGAAUCAUCAAUCCAGAGACUGUCUGUGCUAAUCCACAUGGAAGAUGCCUGGAAGAUUGACUACAGGGCUCCCGAGAUCCCUUCCAAAAGGAAUUGCCCUUCUGAGAAGUCUCAUAGGAUCAAGAUGGACAGCAUUUGAAGAUCAAAUUUCAUGGAGGACUUCACAAAUAGUUCUACAAGAUGGACAUUUACCAAUUUCACUGAUUUACUACAAUGAAACCUUGAAGAGUGCAAUUACAGGAUCUUUAUUUGGUGGAUGUGGGGAAACCACACUAAGUGAUUUGUCUAAUCAUACAAUUGGAAUUGAAAGCUGCUUUUUCCUCAGGAAGGAUGCUGGGAUGCACUUUGGAUUCUUUUCCUGCUGCUUCUUGGCUCAGGCCCUGGCAGACAAUGGCAGAUACCUCCCAGAGGAGCAGCUACUAGGAGAUCCAGGGCUGAAUGCUUGACUACUGAACUUCACAGAUCAAACACAUACACCAAAUUUGAGACUGAGAAAUGUCUUAUCCUUCAAAUGGCAUUAUGCUGUUUAAUGUUCUUCACACAGCAUCACAGGAAUGAUAGCUUCCAUGGCACAAGAGGAAGUCAGAAAAGGAAGUCAAGAGACCAGCAAGCAUGAUCCAGGACCUGCUUGUGAAACAGGAGAGCAAGUAGAAAAUGCACAGUCAGUGGAAGAGAGCAGAUACCUUGAUACCUUGGGAGAAAUAUAUGGAUGGUGCUAGGCUGUGUAGAGAUGGAGUUAGUGGCCAUUUCAAGAGUUCCACGUCCUUCCUGUACUGGGGGCCUCAGGCCUGGAUGCAGUACUUCAGAUGGGGCCUCACAAGAGCCGAGUAGAGGGGGACAAUCACCUCCCUCUCCCUGCUGCCCACCCCUUUCUUAAUGCAGCCCAGAACACAGUUGGCCUUUCAGGCUGCAAGAGCACACUGCUGGCUCAUGCCCAGCUUCUCAUCCACCAGGACCCCCAAGUCUUUCUCCGCAGGGCUGCUCUCAAGAAGAUCUUCUCCCAGUUUGUAUAAGUACUUGGGAUUGCCCUGACCCAAGUGCAGCACCCUGCAUUUAAGGUAUUUUUUUCACUGUAAAAAUAUGGUCCUUUUCUGUAGUAAUAAGUUGAUCAUAAUCACUGUCUAGCGACUCAAUUUAACGUGGCCUGACCUUUCACUCAUCUUUCAGGAUGUGAUUAGUCUUUUGCUACCUUUUUGUAUUUCACAUAUCCUGCUUAACAAAGAUGAGCAAAUGUUGUCUGUGUUACUGGAUGGCUCCUUUUCCACAUACAGAAAGGCUCAGAGGAAAUGUCAUACCAUCACUCAGCUCCCCUGCCAAAACAAAACAAACAACAAAACUGUGAGAUGUGUUCUGAGAUAUAUGAAAAAGUAUAUCAGGAAAAUCAGCAGAAUAUACAAGGAAUAUAUUUACUAGAGGGAGAUGAAACUUCUUCAUGCAUUGUAUUUUCACCUUAUUUAGUUCAUCUAUUUUUAAUAUCAAAAAGGAAGACUAAAGAAUUGUGUAAGGUCUCUUUCAUCUGUUCUUGUUCUGCAAAGCACAGAGAUAAGCAUGAAUCAACAAUGAAAUAAGCAUUUCAAAAUAUGUCUUGUUACUUCCAUGUAGUGAAGGAGGCAUACUCACUUAAUCAGAAGUAUUGCAACCACAUGGAUGAAUAGUAACAAUCUGUACUGCAGCAGCUAUGCAACAGAAUCUACUUUCUUUCACAGCAAAGUAGAACUAUAUUGAUUUGUCCACCUCUAAGUCAAAAGACUGUUUCCCAGUAAGACCUUCUCUUUCUUCAGAGUUCAGUGUGGGUCUCAAAAAUGUUCUUGAUUAAAGCCAGAAUCAAACAUGCUAAUACUUCAGGUUGGAAAUAAAUACUUCCUUUUUUUCCUCUCUAAAAUGUGUUAAAAAGACUUUUGCAAAUGCUUGAGCUUAAAGCCUACGCUCACUGCUUAUGUUUGCACCUUCAACCAAAGGACUCUACAAAGUCCAGGAAUUUACAGUAGUUCAAAAAGCAAUUGACAGAGUACAACAUCUUAAAAAGAAAAGGAACUACCUUUGAUUCAAUAAUAGUUGAGCUACAAAUCGCUGGUUGCUGGCUGAGUAAUGUAGGGCAGUACAUCAUUAGGCACUUGUUCUGAUCUCACACAUUUCCCUUGACAUCUGCUAUUAGCCAAAGGAUACAGGCUAGAUAAUGAUUUGUCUGACUUGCAACUGUUGAUCUUAUGUUCUUAUUUUCUGAAGUCUGCUUCCUGAAAGCUAAGCCAUCAGGCAAGUCCCUAGAGGGUAUGCAUGAUAUUUUUGAAAAUAAGCUAUUCUAGAAAGCCUAGUCUGGAAGAAAGAAAAUCCACGUCUGUAUGAAUCCUUUGUUUUUGGCUCAAAGGUUACUUUCUGAGGCAUUUCUUGUGAUAAGACUCUGACUUAUCUAGAAGAUGAGAGGUGGGUGUUGCCAUGUGGCAAUCAACAUCACUGUGUGGACAAUUUUACAUUUGAAAGCAUUUAUUUGGAUCUGUUUGCCUUCAGAAGAGAAUGCUCAGGACUGUUUACUGGUAGAAGAUCUGGCCUGUGACAAAGAACUCCAGCUUGCUAUGGGAGACUGGGGGAUGAUACCAUUGUAUUCUGUGAAGGCAAUAUACAAGUUGGCACCUCCAUGCUCCCUCUUAUCUGCUGGCAAGGCCUGGAAGAUGGGAACUAAAGGAGUUCUGCGAAGAUCCAAAAGCCAGAAGCUGUCACUCCAAAAGGAGCUGACUCAACCACUUUGGACUUAUAAAUAAGUUUGUACUUAUGUAAGGCAUUGGAAAGUAUCUCCAUCGUCUCCAUAGUCACUGUUGUCAUCAACCAAACAACAGCCCCCGACGACCGAUCACUACUGAAGAUCAAUGAUUGAACUACGAACCACACUAGACCCGUGGUGGUGUCUAUCUCCCUCUUGCUCUCUUCAAAGACUCCUUGCUUUUAUUUCCUAUCUUUUCUAUCACCCAUCUUCUCUUCCUCAUCUCCCUAAAUGACUAGGAUUUGUAAUAAACUGUUCAGGCUAACAUUUGACCCAUUGUGUCUUAAUCACACCAUCAGUUAUACAUAUGUCAAAGAACCUCCUCUCCCUCCUAUAAAUUGGAGCGAGACAACGUCUUUGUUUUCAGAAUAUAAUGACUGCAAGAAUGUAAAUAUCACUAGUUAGACUGUGGAAGGAAAUACUAUAAACAGUAGUAUCUGCUUGUUUUUUUCUUUCAGAAAAAAUAAAACAAAAUGCCAUUUAUUAAUAAAAUGCUGUCUCAAAGAGAAUAAGAGGUUCCAAAAGUUUUCUGAAUGUGUUAACCGUCUAUCAGUGUUUCUGGUCAACCAAAGAUGUCCCAGAAGGCUGGAGGUUGGCCAGUGACUCCCAUCUACAAGAAGGGUUAUAAUAAGGAUCUGGGGAGCUACAGGCCUUCAGCCUGACCAUAGUGUUGGGAAAGGUUGUGGAGCAGAUCACCUUGAGUGAGAUCAUACAGAAUGUGUGGGACAACCAGGGGAUCAGUCUCAGUCAGCAUGGACUCAUGAAAGGCAGGUCCUGCUUGACCAACCUCAUUUUCUAUGAUGGAGUGACCUGUCUGGGGGAGAGGGAAAGGCUGUUGAUGUAUUCU
ensembl:lncRNA